GUGCGGGUCCUGUGCAACAAAGCACCGUGAACCAUGUCAGGCGGGGAACCGAGCAGCAUUAAGCGGAUUGUUUUGUGUGCCGCAGUCAACCUGCACACC
rnacentral:SRP_RNA from 1 species